rnacentral:misc_RNA from 1 species
UACAGAGGGUGCGAGCGUUAAUCGGAUUUACUGGGCGUAAAGCGUGCGUAGGCGGAUUUUUAUGUCGGAUGUGAAAUCCCCGAGCUUAACUUGGGAAUUGCAUUCGAUACUGGGAAGCAUGAGAAAGGGAGCGGAUGGUAGAAUUCCAGGUGUAGCGGUGAGAUGCGUAGAGAUCUGGAGGAAUACCGAUGGCGAAGGCAGCCAUCUGGCCUAAUACUGACGCUGAGGUACGAAAGCAUGGGGAGCAAACAGG